GGACGAACGCUGGCGGCGUGCCUAACACAUGCAAGUCGAACGAAGCAUUGGAGUUGAUCCCUUCGGGGUGACGCACCUUAUGACUUAGUGGCGGACGGGUGAGUAACACGUGAGCAACCUGCCUCUCAGAGUGGAAUAACAGUUGGAAACGGCUGCUAAUACCACAUAACGUUUUUGUGCCGCAUGACACUUCAACCAAAGAUUUAUCGCUGAGAGAUGGGCUCGCGUCCGAUUAGGUAGAUGGUGGGGUAACGGCCUACCAUGCCGACGAUCGGUAGCCGGACUGAGAGGUUGAUCGGCCACAUUGGGACUGAGACACGGCCCAGACUCCUACGGGAGGCAGCAGUGGGGGAUAUUGCACAAUGGGCGCAAAAGCCUGAUGCAGCAACGCCGCGUGCGGGAAGACGGCCUUCGGGUUGUAAACCGCUGUCCUUGGGGAAGAAACAAAUGACGGUACCCAAGAAGGAAGCCACGGCUAACUACGUGCCAGCAGCGGC
rnacentral:rRNA from 1 species